UACGUAGGGUGCAAGCGUUGUCCGGAAUUAUUGGGCGUAAAGAGCUCGUAGGCGGCCUGUCGCGUCGGAUGUGAAAGCCCGGGGCUUAACCCCGGGUCUGCAUUCGAUACGGGCAGGCUAGAGUGUGGUAGGGGAGAUCGGAAUUCCUGGUGUAGCGGUGAAAUGCGCAGAUAUCAGGAAGAACACCCGUGGCGAAAGCGGCUCUCUGGAACGGUACUGACGCUGAGACGCGAAAGCGUGGGGAGCGAACAGG
rnacentral:rRNA from 1 species